UAGGACGCUGAUUACAUGUUUCCACCCCAACCCUGGCUUGCCUCCUGUGUUUCCUGCCUCUGUGAAAGAGACUCCCACCCAGCCAGCUGCCCAAGUCAGAAAGCGGCUUGAGAUUCAUGCUGCCUCCUCCUCUCUCACCACCACCAUCCGUGUUCCUCAGGACCUGUCAUCCCAGUGCACACAGCCAGGCCUCUGCGAGACUGUUUCAUAGAUGCUCAAGACACCAGCAAACCAGUGCCACCGAACAAGUAUGAGAAAAGAACAGGCUAGAUUAUGUUAUCCAGAACUUCACAACCAUCAGAUCUAGACAGAAGGAGGUGGACAGUGAACACAGAAAAGCUGUAAGGUGUCCUGUGACAGAUGUAUGUGGUGGACACAGCAGGACCCAGAGGAAGGAAGAAAGAAGCUGCUCUUGAAAAGACCCUCAAACCACGAUGCUCAAGGAAGUGUCGAGAGAUGAAGGAGAGGUGUUUGCCAGGCAGAGCAGGUGGGGAAGGAUAAUCUGAGGAGGAUAGAUAGCCAGUGCAAAGGCUCAGAGCACUUUUGGAGUGCUGCCAGACCAGGG